rnacentral:lncRNA from 1 species
UCCUCUGAUCGUAGCAUAUCUGCUCCAUCCUUUCUUCACUUCUUAAAAGUUUUCCUGCUGCCCCCCCCCCCUUUUUUUCUAGCUCUCUGACCUCACACAAUCUGGUGUCCCACCCAUAUUUGACUGGCACUCUAAUCUCACUCAGAAAUUUUACCUAUGACGGAUCAAGCUUUGGGGGUUCAAAGUACCCUUUCUUUUUUCUUCAUCAGCAAUCUUCUGGUGCACCCACCCCAUCAUUUUGGUGGCCCUUAUGCACUCUUUCCUCAUAUUUUCAUUUAGUUGCUGGCACUCUACUCCCUUCCACACUAUAGGUAGCUACCCUCCUAUAUUUUCCUGGCACUCUAUCCUUCCCUCCAAGUAUAACCAAUACCCCCUUCCCGCCCAAAUAUAAUAAAAUUUGCAUACCUUGGGGUCAUUGACUCCAUAGCUCGACGAGUUCCUCUUCCCUUUUAGUGCCCUGUUUUUUGUACCCCCUCAUUUUAGCUCCCGUGAUUGUGUCAGAGGCAAUCCUUCUAGCUAUUUCACUUGCUAUUGUAUACUUGUCCUCGAAUUUCCUCUUGUUUCUCUCCUUCCAAAUUGCCCAAGAAGUAGCAGCUAUUAUGGACCAUGUGAAUGCCCAGCACUUGGACCCUCUUGAUCUUCUAUCAGCCCUCCUCAUGACCUGAUCCAAUGAGAGGUCCCUUUCAUCCGUUAUCUCUGGAAAU